AUUGAACGCUGGCGGCAGGCCUAACACAUGCAAGUCGAACGGUAACAGGAAGCAGCUUGCUGCUUCGCUGACGAGUGGCGGACGGGUGAGUAAUGUCUGGGAAGCUGCCUGAUGGAGGGGAAUAACUACUGGAAACGGUAGCUAAUACCGCAUAAUGUCGCAAGACCAAAGAGGGGGACCUUCGGGCCUCUUGCCAUCGGAUGUGCCCAGAUGGGAUUAGCUUGUUGGUGGGGUAACGGCUCACCAAGGCGACGAUCCCUAGCUGGUCUGAGAGGAUGACCAGCCACACUGGGACUGAGACACGGUCCAGACUCCUACGGGAGGCAGCAGUGGGGAAUAUUGCACAAUGGGCGCAAGCCUGAUGCAGCCAUGCCGCGUGUAUGAAGAAGGCCUUCGGGUUGUAAAGUACUUUCAGCGGGGAGGAAGGGAGUAAAGUUAAUACCUUUGCUCAUUGACGUUACCCGCAGAAGAAGCACCGGCUAACUCCGUG
rnacentral:rRNA from 1 species